AAAUAAACUAUCAUGAUAAAGGAUAAGUGCCACAAAGAGGCUGCUCAAGGACAGCUAACAGCUGAACGGCAGUGGUCAUAUUAAGUCUUAUUCUUUUUUGCAGCAUUUUCAGUGGGAUUACAUGAAGAUAUCAUAACGAAGGAAAAGAACCAAAGAAAAGGAGGUUCCGAAAAAAAUGGCUGAGACAACGGGCAGCAUAGAGGAGGUUAUGUUACACUAAUUCCAAAUGUAGAGGGUUUCAGAGGCAUUGCUCGAUGCUUAUGUUCAUGUGUGUUCCUUAGUAAACACGUUGACAGCUGGCAAAGUGAGCAUAUCGUUCUUUCGUGUGAAAGUCACACCCACGCUGCAUUCACAGCAUGAAUGGAGUCUUUCUGGCCUCUGAAUGGGGCUUUUCUACUCCUGUUGAGUGAUUGCUGCUGCACAGCAAGAGCUGAAGUUUUUCUGCAGUCUUGCAAAACGUGGAAGAAGAUCAGAACUGAAGCAUGACACUUUGUUAAUCAUCAGGUAAUCAAAUUUAAAUUGAAAGGUUCCAGAAGCAUAGCAAGAAUCUAAUUACAUAUCUUCUCACAGCAUAGAAUAAAAUCCCAGUGGGAUAAUUGCA
rnacentral:lncRNA from 1 species